GCACCGGCUAACUCCGUGCCAGCAGCCGCGGUAAUACGGAGGGUGCAAGCGUUAUCCGGAUUUAUUGGGUUUAAAGGGUGCGUAGGCGGUUAUAUAAGUCAGCGGUGAAAUUUUUCGGCUCAACCGGAAACAUGCCGUUGAUACUGUAUAGCUUGAAUAUGGUUGCUGUGAGUGGAAUGUGUAGUGUAGCGGUGAAAUGCUUAGAUAUUACACAGAAUAUCGAUUGCGAAGGCAACUCACAAAGCCAUUAUUGACGCUGAGGCACGAAAGUGUGGGGAUCAAACAGGAUUAGAUACCCUGGUAGUCCACACUGUAAACGAUGAUAACUAGCUGUCGGCGAUACAAUGUCGGUGGCCAAGCGAAAGCGAUAAGUUAUCCACCUGGGGAGUACGACCGCAAGGUUGAAACUCAAAGGAAUUGACGGGGGCCCGCACAAGCGGAGGAACAUGUGGUUUAAUUCGAUGAUACGCGAGGAACCUUACCCGGGCUCGAACGGUGCAGUAAUAUGGUAGAGAUAUCAUAGCUAGCAAUAGACUGUAUCGAGGUGCUGCAUGGUUGUCGUCAGCUCGUGCCGUGAGGUGUCGGCUUAAGUGCCAUAACGAGCGCAACCCUUGUCGUUAGUUACCAUCAAGUAAAGUUGGGGACUCUAGCGAGACUGCCACCGUAAGGUGUGAGGAAGGGGGGGAUGACGUCAAAUCAGCACGGCCCUUACGUCCGGGGCGACACACGUGUUACAAUGGUAGGUACAGAGGGCCGCUACCCAGUGAUGGGGUGCCAAUCUCAAAAACCUAUCUCAGUUCGGAUCGGAGUCUGCAACUCGACUCCGUGAAGUUGGAUUCGCUAGUAAUCGCGCAUCAGCCAUGGCGCGGUGAAUACGUUCCCGGGCCUUGUACACACCGCCCGUCAAGCCAUGGAAGCUGGGGGUGCCUGAAGUUCGUGACCGCAAGGAGCGACCUAGGGCAAAACUAGUAACUGGGGCUAAGUCGUAACAAGGUAGCCGUACCGGAAGGUGUGGCUG
rnacentral:rRNA from 1 species